AGCGGCGAACGGGUGAGUAACACGUAGGUGAUCUGCCCAUCAGACGGGGACAACGAUUGGAAACGAUCGCUAAUACCGGAUAGGACGAAAGUUUAAAGGUGCUUCUGGCACCGCUGAUGGAUGAGCCUGCGGCGCAUUAGCUAGUUGGUAGGGUAAAGACCUACCAAGGCGACGAUGCGUAGCCGACCUGAGAGGGUGAACGGCCACACUGGGACUGAGACACGGCCCAGACUCCUACGGGAGGCAGCAGUAGGGAAUCUUCGGCAAUGGGCGAAAGCCUGACCGAGCAACGCCGCGUGAAUGAUGAAGGCCUUCGGGUUGUAAAAUUCUGUUAUAAGGGAAGAACGACUUUAGUAGGAAAUGGCUAGAGUGUGACGGUACCUUAUGAGAAAGCCACGGCUAACUACGUGCCAGCAGCCGCGGUAAUACGUAGGUGGCGAGCGUUAUCCGGAAUUAUUGGGCGUAAAGAGCGCGCAGGUGGUUGAUUAAGUCUGAUGUGAAAGCCCACGGCUUAACCGUGGAGGGUCAUUGGAAACUGGUCGACUUGAGUGCAGAAGAGGGAAGUGGAAUUCCAUGUGUAGCGGUGAAAUGCGUAGAGAUAUGGAGGAACACCAGUGGCGAAGGCGGCUUCCUGGUCUGUAACUGACACUGAGGCGCGAAAGCGUGGGGAGCAAACAGGAUUAGAUACCCUGGUAGUCCACGCCGUAAACGAUGAGUGGUAAGUGU
rnacentral:rRNA from 1 species